AUGGCGUCUAUCCCACAAGGGAAAGGGCAUCCAGGACCGGACACAUGCACCUUGCAAAGAAAACAUGCCCCCUUUUCUGCCUCUUCUUUAAUAGAAUCUUCCUGUUUUCUCCAGUACAGACGCCCUCCGUCCUCCCUACGGAAAGGAGUAAGGAAGGACUCUGAUCAUUUGGACCUCCAGAGAACCUCUCCUCUUCCCUCCUCCUCACCUAAUCCAUCUUGCUGGGGCAGAGUUGGCCUGGCUGUUGAUUGGAGGAUGCUGAAUGAAGAUGUGGGACUAGAAGGAGAGGCCAUCAGACUUCUUUUCAGACACUGCUAUUUUUCAAAUUUCUGUUGUCAUCAAUUUUAAUCAAUGAAAAACUUCACAUUAAUAAACAAAUCAGCAU
rnacentral:lncRNA from 1 species